AGGGGGAUAGCUCAGGGGUAGAGCGCUCGCUUUGCAUGCGAGAAGUCUGGGUUCGAUUCCCCAUACCUCCA
rnacentral:tRNA from 1 species